ACAGUCAUCUGGAGUAAAGGAAGCUUGGAAGUUGGACACCCAUGAUGUCUUAGAGAGUUAGAAGGGGGCUGGGGUCAGCCAAAUAUCUGAGUACCAUGAAGAGACCAGGUACAGGAUUGGUGCACCUGCCUUGAAAAGUCAGUUGCAAUGAAACGCUUUUGAACGGAGAAGCAUCUGGAAGUUCAGGAUAUCAGAGAAACUGCCUGCUGUUCUGGAAGAGAUCAAGAACGCCUGAGGAAAGAGAACUUACAAAUGACCAAAUGACUGUUCUGUGGAGGCUCAGGGUCGCCGCAGUUUUCCUGAGGUAACCGUGCCAUGCAUUUACUGUUUGCCUGAGUGAUGGCUGCUGCCUUUUGUGUUGGUUUAUUUUCUUUAUUCAUCGGUGAUGAUCUGGAAAGUGGAGAGCGGAACAAGAAAUCCUGUAACCCUAAGGAUUGCCUCAAAUGCAGCCCAGAAAAUUAUUGCCUGAUUGAGACUAGAAUUUCUAACUUUUAAGACUGUAUUGAAGUAAACAUGGAUAUCAAUUAAUUCUUUCCGGUUAGGGCCAGCAUAAUGAAACCCACAAUUAUGUAUCAAGGGGAAGAGGUUAUAGAUAAGAUUCGUUUUAUUCUGGUUUUGGAUCAUAUCAAGAUCAUGAGGCUAUUUUCUCAGAGGGAACUAAAAUGCUUUACCUGAGGAGUGACUCUUAGAGGGAAUGUGCUGGAACAAGAAGAGAAGCAAAAGAAAGUCACAGUGACUUGGGUGGGGGAUGUGAAGGUAUGGGAGCCAGGGGCACUUACUGGAAGCAGAAAAAUCUAAGCAGUUAACUGUCAGAGGCAACAUAACUGCUGGAUGGGAGUUGAAAGUGUUAAGAGAGGGACAGAACGGAGCAGGCAUAAGAGUUCCGGGGGCAUCUGCCAUGCUCAUGAAGAAGCCCUACCAUUUCCACUCCAGUUGGGAGCAGUGGUCUGACCAACAAGGUGCUGUGAUUUGGGUGAAUCUGUUAACACUAUGUCUGGGAAGGAAGAACGUUAGAACGAAAGAAGGAAACCUCUCUCUUCCCUGCCAUACCAGGCUUUCACCAAAGCCGAAGUCUGCAGGUGCUAGUCUCUAGCACGGUGCCUAAUAAUUGGUAAAUAUUCGAUAUCCUUGUGUGUACGUGUGUAUCUGUCUGUAUGUGUGUGUACUGAAACAUAAAAAUUCAUUUUCCAUUUAUUUCUUCUCAGCUAACCUCCCUACAAGAUGACUGCCAUGCUGUAUCUGCUGGAGGUAGUCUGAUCAAAAACACCAUAAUUGUGGAGAUGAUUCUUCUUUUUAUCUCAUGUAAUACCUAUACCUUUCCUCUACCCAAAUAUUAAAGGGAGCACUUGCCUACAAAUGUACAUGUUAUAUGCAGGUCCAAAUGGUAAAGAGUAUGAAGAUAAGUUAGAGGCAGGAUUUAAUGCACAGGAAGAGAGGUUCUUGGUGUCCUGAGGGGCAAUUCCCUCCUCCUUGUCUACUCGUCUGGGCUACACAUCUUCAGCCCCCCAAAAUGAGACCCAUGUGGAGAAGGAUGACAUCGAGCAAAGAGCAUAGGUGCAAAUUCCUUCUCCCUCCAACACAUCUUCAGCCACUCUCAGCUCGGAGGGUUAAACAGAGCCAGAAGACUUGCUUCGGUUGGCUGACACCACUGUCACCAUGCCCAUGUCAGUUCCUAGGAGGGGUGUAUAGGAAGGAGAAAAGAAGGUGGCUCUCAUCGCAAAACAGGUAAGGGCUUGAGGAUUAAGAGGACACUGAACUGGGCUCAGCAGACUCCAUGCUGCCAGUAGAGAUGAUACCGUGUCUUGAGUGGCCAAGGGAAAGUCACAGAUUGCUUUACUCUGGUUUCCUGGAAUACUGGAGUUUUCAUGUGAAUUACUAAGGAAAACACAGUUUUACCUAAGGAAGAAGCAUUUCACAAACUUAUCAAGGUCAUCUUGAAGCUGAAUCUUAGUACUUCGUAUCCUUCAUUAGUACCAAGAGUGCAAAAGGGGCAUGCUAAUAAGCAGAAGAUAUAAAAAUGGGCUGUAGAGAGGAGCACAUUAGAAUAUUUGACAAAGGAUUUCAGAAGACCCAAGGAUUAUAGGGGCCAGGGGCUGUGGAAAACAUGGCUGUGAUGUACAGAUGGGAUUCUGGAUAGGUAAAUUCCUUGGAUAAAUCCAGGUGUUGUAAGGGAUGCUAGGGUCAAUAUAGGGUAAAAAUGUUGCUCAGGAAUUCCAUGUGGUGCCCCUUGUUCCCCAGACAGACUCUCAGCAGGCCCAUUUCUUACAUAUAUUGUGGCUAUGGGGCAGGUUACUCUUGCUCCCUGGCUAGGUUAAAUGCUGAGUAAUUUUCAACAAAAAAAGAAGAUUGCAUAAAGGUCAAAUUUAAAGGGUAAAAUAUAAUAGAAAACCUUGCUACUUAGGCUAGGUGACGUAUUGUAUAUCUGCUCUCACCCACUGUUGCAGUCAUCUUACUAGAAGCUAAGCAUUGGCCAUCUGAAAUUUCACCUAAGAAUUUCUUUUAGGUUUGCGUCAAAUGAGCCUUUUCCCCAUUUGUUCUCUGGGUCAAGGCUUGAGAUAGCGGUUUCUGCUCUCAUUGCUGCACGGGCAUCAGGUGCUUAAAGAAACAAAGUACAGGAGAAGAAUUUAUCUAAUGGGGAAUUAGGAUAAUGAUGUUUGCGUACAGAUGCCCAGGAAUCACUCUCUCUCUAAAGGAACAGCAGGAAUAGUAGAAACUACUUGGAUGACCAAUGAUCAGACAGAGGAGAAAAACGGCCAGAGCAGACAGCAGGGAGAUGGGAAAGGGUGGGAGGCAGCAGUUCUGGCAGAGAGAAGGAGCAUAGACAUCUCUGGAGGAGAGGUAGGGAGAGCUGAGCUGUGACAGACUGAAGCAGAGGGUCAUGGCCAGGCCCCCACACGCUCUUGAUGGAAGGGCUGGGUCUAGCGCGCAGAGAUGACAUGGGCUGGCCUUUGCUAGUAUCUUGGUAGGAGAAAAGCAAGAGAGCACUUCUGUCCAAAUGGUAUUCCUAUGGAUGAGCAAGUGAAAGUACAAAAUGUGUCUUCUCUCUCCUCAGAUAAUGCACGCAUAGGAAAUUAAAUGGUAGUGAAUGAAUAAUGAUACAGCCCAGAAGAGAAAGUUGUAGAGAAGCGAAGAGAGGUCCAAGUGCUAAGCCAGCCAUAGAGGAGAUGCCCACCGGUGCUGGACAAUUUAUUUUGGAAAUGGGGCUGAGAAUGGGAAUCUGAUCAUCCAGCAAAAAAUCCUAAUCUGUAAAGAGGCUCUCUCAUCUUAGCCAAAUCGAACUUUCUCUCUGGAAAUCAUAAGGGUUCAGAAGAGCAGAACACAAGCUCAGUGUUCAGCUCAAGAGCAGAACAAGAGCUGUGGAACCAGACACACUUGAACGAAAAUUCAAAUGCUUUUACUUACUAAUUAUUAGAUCUUGUGUGAUUUUCUCGUUUCCCCGUACCUCAGUGUUUUCAUUUAUAAAAUGGAAAUAAUAGAUACACGCACUUGUUGUAAAGUUUGUUACAUAUGUACCUAAAACACUUGGCACGGUGUAUUGCAUAUAGUGCAUUUCCAAAGUGGUAGUUACUGUUUUAUUAUUAGUCCUAAUGUGCUCUUCUGAGUAUUGUUUCCAGAAACGGUGGUUAUAUGCCACAAUUCUUUGAUAAUGUAAGGCGAGUUUUGAGGUGGCAAAAGGGGAUGGUGAGAUAUCCAGGAAUCAUGUCAGAUGACAAAACCUGAAGAACCUGGUAAUGAGAGCCUUAAAGAAAUAGAGACUGGGGGCCGGCCCGGUGGCAUAGUUGUCAAGUGUGCUUGUUCCGCUUCUUGGUAGCCCGGGGUUCACCGA